rnacentral:tRNA from 1 species
GGCUGUAGCUCAGUGGUAGAGUGCUUGUCUAGCAUGCAUGAGGCACUGGAUUAGAUCCUCAGCAUGACA